GAAGAAGCUGCACGUUAACGUGAUAGUGUAGUUACAGAGAAUUUGUGACUACGUUUUAGACCGUAGCUCUGGCCACAACAAUAUAGCUGAAAUUGAUUGAUUAUAUUAUGGAAAGCGACACCGAGAUGGAGGACUUCGAUAGCAGCGAGGAGGGAAGCAAUUGGUCUGAUGAUAGUUACCUUGCAGACGAAGACUUCAGCUUCGACUAUCAGGAGGGAGUGGAUCCACACGAGGACGCUCUUGAUUGGGAAGAGGACUCAAAUGAAUCAGCAGGCGACACACCACCCAGAGUCACACCAAGGAAAGAGAGCCAAUCUGAGAGUGGGGUAAAGUGUUCUGAUUCUCCAGAAGAACCAUGGUUACCAUGCAAAGGUUCACAGUCAACAAGGACAUCAAGGCAGUCUGAUGAUGCUGUGACACACCGCCCCAGACCAUGAUGGACCCUCCACCUCCAAAUCGAUCCCGCUCCAGAGUACAGGCCUCGGUGUAAUGCUCAUUCCUUCGACGAUAAAUGUGAAUCCGACCAUCACUCCUGGUGAGACAAAACCGUCAAUGAAGAGCACUUUUUGCCAGUCCUGUCUGGUCCAGUGACGGUGGGUUUGUGCCCAUAGGCGACGUUGUUGCCGGUGAUAUCUGGUGAGGACCUGCCUUACAACAGGCCUACAAGCCCUCAGUCCAGCCUCUCUCAGCCUAUUGCGGACAGUCUGAGUACUGAUGGAGGGAUUGUGCGUUCCUGGUGUAACUCGGGCAGUUGUUGUUGCCAUCCUGUACCUGUCCCACAGGUGUGAUGUUCGGAUGUACCAAUCCUGUGCAGGUGUUGUUACACGUGGUCUGCCACUGCGAGGAUGAUCAGCUGUCCGUCCUGUCUCCAUGUAGCGCUUUCUUAGGUGUCUCACAGUACGGAGAUUGCAAUUUUUUCCCUUGGCCACAUCUGCAAUCCUCAUGCCUCCUUGCAGCAUGCCUAAGGCACAUUCACGCAGAUGAGCAGGGACCCAGGGCAUCUUUCUUUUGGUGUUUUUCAGUCAGUAGAAAGGCCUCUUUAGGGUCCUAAGUUUUCAUAACUGUGAGCUCCUUUGCCUACCGUCUGUAAGCUGUUGGUGUCUUAAUGACCGUUCCACAGGUGCAUGUUCAAUAAAACCUGUUGGUACUAGGGGGCAUUAUUUUCAUUUUUGGGGAUAAAACGUUCCCGUUUUAAACGUGAUAUUUUGUCAGGACAAGAUGCUAGAAUAUGCAUAGAAAACACUCUAACUUUUCCAAAACUGUAAAGAUAUUGUCUGUGAGUAUAACAGAACUGAGGUUGCAGGCGAAAGCCUGAGAAAAAUCCAAUCCGGAAGUACCCCAGGUUUUGAAAGCGCUGCGUUCCAAUGAGUCCCUAUUCAGCUGUGAAUAUGCCAUUAACGAGCUUACGCUUUCUACGUAUUCCCCAAGGUGUCUACAGCAUUGUGACGUAGUUUUACGCAUUUCUGUUGAAGAAUAGCCGUAGGCGGCCACAUUGCGUAAGUGGUCACAUGGUGGCUCCGAGAGAGAUUCUCGCGUAAAAUACAGAGGUAGCCAUUACUCCAUUCGGCCCUACUGAAGAACUAAUUGUCCCGACGGAUAUAUUAUUGAAUAGAUAUUAGAAAAACACCUUGAGGAUUGAUUAUAAACAACGUCCUGAAAAAGGGACGUUUGUUUUUUUGCUGAGUUCACAUACGAUAGACUGAGUUAUUUCUUUACAUUAAAAACCAAAAUCAGAAGUCCAUUCAUUCCAAUAAAUAUUAUACCCCUUGAUCUUCAAGAAUAGGACAUGGAAAUAUGGAAGUAUAGCUUAGCCAAAUUGUUUACAUUUUACAUAACCCAAAAACCGAGGAUUUAUUAGCCAGCUCUACUCUGUUGUUUACGAUUUUGUUGUCAUGGAGGACUGAUUGGGCUCAUUGAUUCAAGUUGAAAAAUAAAUGCUGCGCUCAUGGAAUGGCAUGCUUUGAGCACUACUGAAAAGUGCUAUUUACAUGUGAAAAAUGAAUGCCAUAUGUUGCAUUUGCUAUUGUUUACCUUUUUUUGGUGACACUUUGAUAUCUUGAUAAUAUGCAGCUGUUUAAAGGGCAGCUGAAACAAUAACAAAACGGUCGCCCUCUGUUUUGGUAAAAAGCUGAGGGAUGGGCCUGGAGAAAUGUAACCACACUCAGAUUAAUAGACAGAGCUAUGGAUGUAAGGACGGACCAUCAAUUAUAUCAAAAUUGUUUUAACUAUGUUAUGAGGCUAUACAGUGUUGGUUUACAUUUACAAUGUCAAAUCGAAUCAAAUGCUUACUUACAAGCCCUUAAUCAACAAUGCUUUAAAAAGUUAAGAAAAACUAGAGGGAUAUGUUCAACCACCAUCCUGAGACAAGGCCGAGUAUAGCCCACAAAGAUCUCCGCCACGGCACAACCCAUGUGGGGGCACCAACCCAGACAGGAAGAUCACAUCCAUGACUCAACCCACUCAAGUGACGCACCCCUCCUAGGGACGGCAUGAAAGAGCACCAGUAAGCCAGUGACUCAGCCCCUGUCAUAGGGUUAGAGGUUAGAGGCAGAGAAUCCCAGUGGAAAAAGGGGAACCGGCCAGGCAGAGACAGCAAGGGCGGUUCGUUGCUCCAGAGCCUUUUCGUUCACCUUCACACUCCUGGGCCAGACUAGACUCAAUCAUAUGACCCACUGAAGAGAUGAGUCUUCAGUAAAGACUUAAAUGUUGAGACCAAGUUUGCGUCUCUCACAUGGGUAGGUAGACCAUUCCAUAAAAAUUGAGCUCUAUAGGAGAAAGCCCUGCCUCCAGCUGUUUGCGUAGAAAUUCUAGGGACAAUAAGGAGGCCUGCGUCUUGUGACCGUAGCGUUCGUGUAGGUAUGUACAGCAGGACCAAAUCAGAGAGAGAGGUAGGAGCAAGCCCAUGUAAUGCUUUGAAGGCAUUAGCAUGGUUCUGCUCAUCAUGGCAGUAAUUGUGUCUUUAUUGUAAAUCCAAUGCAUCCAAAGUGUGCUUUACAGCUUGUCCUGCCUCAUAACAUUUGUUUUGGUCCCUUUCAGAUCAUAGCCACGUCAACAGUGGGCGUCAGGCUUGUAAGAGACAUGAAAUAUCUGAAAGCUUUGGUGACCUAGGCUGGAUGGUGAGCUUGUCUCACUAAGCUACUCAUUCUACUGAGUAGAUAGUAUCAAGAGCUAACAUUGUGUCACCUUAUUUGCUGUAACACACAGUUAUUAUUUUAAAGGGAAGCAAGGCAUUGUGUGCAUUUUAAUGAAGUAUUUCUGAUUUGAAAUAUAGUCUGUUCUCGUCAUUCAUCUAAUCUUGUCAUUCCAUUUCUAUAGUAUUUCUCUCCGUUAGGAUUGGGUCCUGGCUCCUACAGGCUACUGUGCCUUCUACUGUGAUGGAGAAUGCCUAUACCCUCUGGGUUCCUGCAUCAACACCAUUAACCACGCUAUGAUCCAACUAGAGGUUCACCUUUUGAAGCCGGGUGAGGUUCCCAAAGCGUGCUGCACACCCACCAAGCUCAGUCCCAUCUCUAGACUCUUCUACGACGACAACGACAAUGUGAUCCUAAAGAAGCAUGAAGACAUGGUGGUCAAGACCUGUGUAUGCCUGUGACACCUGUGGCGGCCCAUCUAUUCUACAUCAUUUUAAUAAACUUCACUACCAUUGUUCCAAAAGAUAUACCUUUGCAACCAGCAGUUGAAAGCAAUAAUCUGGCAAUAUGCAGAUAAAUAGUAUGUAUCUACACUGUACACAAAAAAUUAACGCAACAUUCAACAAUUUCAACGAUAUUACUGAGUUAAAGUUCAUAUAAGGCAAUCAGUCAAUUCAAAUACAUUCUUUAGACCCUAAUCUAUGGAUUUCACAUGACUGUGAAUACAGAUGUGCCUCUGUUGGUCACAGAUACCUUUUUAAAGUAAGACAGGGGCGUGGAUCUGGGGCGGCAGGUAGCCUAGUGGUUAGUGUUGAGCCAGUAACCGAAAGAUGCUGGAUCCAAUCCCCGAGCUGACAAGGUAAAAAUCUGUCAUUCUGCCCCUGAACAUGACAGUUAACCCACUGUUUCCCAGGAAGGCCGUCAUUGUGAGUAAGGAGUUGUUCUUAACUGACUUGCCUAGUUAGAAAAGGGAUACAAAGCCUUCUACUGUGAUGGAGAAUGUCUACAUCCUCUGGGUUCCUGCAUAAACACCACUAACCACGGUAUGAUCCAACUAGUGGUCAGCCUCCAAUUGCUCUUAAAUACAAGUAAAACUAAAUGCAUGCUCUUCAACCGAUCGCUACCCGCACCUACCCGCCUGUCCAACAUCACUACUCUGGACGUCUCUGAUUUAGAAUACGUGGACAACUACAAAUACUUAGGUGUCUGGUUAGACUGUAAACUCUCCUUCCAGACCCAUAUCAAAUAUCUCCAAUCCAAAGUUAAAUCUAGAAUUGGCUUCCUAUUUCGCAACAAAGCAUCCUUCACUCAUGCAGCCAAACAUACCCUUGUAAAACUGACCAUCCUACCAAUCCUCGACUUUGGCAAUGUCAUUUACAAAAUAGCCUCCAAUACCCUACUCAACAAAUUGGAUGCAGUCUAUCACAGUGCAAUCCGUUUUGUCACCAAAGCCCCAUAUACUACCCACCAUUGCGACCUGUACGCUCUCGUUGGCUGGCCCUCGCUUCAUACUCAUCGCCAAACCCACUGGCUCCAUGUCAUCUACAAGACCCUGCUAGGUAAAGUCCCCCCUUAUCUCAGCUCGCUGGUCACCAUAGCAUCUCCCACCUGUAGCACACACUCCAGCAGGUAUAAUCUCUCUAGUCACCCCCAAAACCAAUUCUUUCUUUGGCCGCCUCUCCUUCCAGUUCUCUGCUGCCAAUGACUGGAACGAACUACAAAAAGCACUGAAACUGGAAACACUUAUCUCCUUCACUAGCUUUAAGCACCAACUGUCAGAGCAGCUCACAGAUUACUGCACCUGUACAUAGCCCACCUAUAUUUUAGCCCAAACCUCUUUCCCUACUGUAUUUCAUUUAUUUAUUUAUUUUGCUCCUUUGCACCCCAUUAUUUUUAUUUCUACUUUGCACAUUCUUCCAUUGCAAAUCUACCAUUCCAGUGUUUUACUUGCUAUAUUGUAUUUACUUUGCCACCAUGGCCUUUUUUUGCCUUUACCUCCCUUAUCUCACCUCAAUUGCUCACAUCGUAUAUAGACUUGUUUAUACUGUAUUAUUGACUGUAUGUUUGUUUUGCUCCAUGUGUAACUCUGUGUCGUUGUAUGUGUCGAACUGCUUUGCUUUAUCUUGGCCAGGUCGCAAUUGUAAAUGAGAACUUGUUCUCAACUUGCCUACCUGGUUAAAUAAAAGUGAAAUAAAUAAAAUAAAUAAAAGUAUGCACUACUACACCCUCUCA